GUCUAGUCCCAMCUCCAUUGUCAUUAACUCUUGUAGUUUUUGACUGGGAGAGACACUACCGCGGACGGCUCAUUAAAUCAGUUGUGGUCUAUAAUGGAGAGCGGAAUUUAAUUGGAUAACUGUGGUAAUUCCAGAGCUAAUACAUGCAAUCUAUAAGUCCGACGCUAUGUGUCUGGAAGACUUUGUCUUUCGAGAGGCACCUCUAGCAUACGACUGCUUUUAUUGGACCAAAAACUCGAAUAGGGUGAGAGAGCAAUCUUUUACCUUGUGACUCGUGUUAUGGUGACUCUGGAUAACAAUCAGACAAGCGCACAUAGUACCUCACGGGAACUGACGCAUCCAUUUUUCGAGUGUCUGACUUAUCAGCCAUUUAUCGUUUGCUAUGUGCUCACGAUGGCUAUUACGGGUAACGGGGAAUCUGAGUUCGAUUCCGGAGAGGCAGCCUGAGAAACGGCUACCACGUCCAAGGACGGCAGCAGGCACGCAAAUUACCCAAUCCCAGCACCUGGGGGAGGUAGUGACAGUAUCUAACGAUGUGAACGUUUCGUAAGAAGCUUCACAAUCGGAAUGAGCAUUGUCACUUUUGUGUCUUUUUUCUAAAAUGUCUGUUGAGAACCAACUGAAGGGCAAGUCUGGUGCCAGCAGCCGCGGUAAUUCCAGCUUCAGUGGCAUGUAUCAAUGUUGUUGCGGUUAAAGCUCGCAGUUGAAUGUCUGGUCAAAGAGUCCGAGUGGUGGAUGUUGUGGAUUACUUGUUAGUGACGGUAUAUUCGUGAUGAAGCGCACGGGGACGACGCACUAGCGUGUAUCGUUGCUGGUGGGCCCCUCUUUCUCGAAUAGUGUUCUAUAUAACACUGUCCUUUGUAGUCUUCCAUCCGUGAUACCGCAGGAUUCUCGGUUAAUGGAAAGGUCACAAACGAACACACUAUGUUAUCUCUCUUUAUGGUCUUACAAUCACACACGAAAGUGAGUGGGCGUUUGCUGAGAUUGAGCGAGUGUGGGAUAGUGGUCAUAUGCUUUGGCACCCUGAGUAAAUCGGAAUGCUCAAAGAAGUCGAGUGCGCACAUAGAGAGUAUUAAUUUACUCUGGACUGUGCGUACACACAAGCUAUAUCUUGAUUUGUACUUAAUUGUGCAUUGAUAGAGACUGUCCUGGUUUUGCAUGGUAUGUCGAAAGACGCUAUCAUACGUUGGUUACGAGUUAUUUGAGACGGUCAGCUUAAAUGAGUGCUAAUGUGUGCUUACAAUAAUCAAGUAAGAGUGUUCUUUGCAUCUGUGUAAGCUUCAGCUUUUUUUAAUUAAAGAGUGUGGAGCCUCUAUGCUUUUAUAUGACGAGAUACACACCCUGUUUGAGUUUGCUAUACAGGCGCAUGCUGGCCAUAACUCCAAUGUUGAUGGAAUGAUAAAGAGAGAUGGUCGAGGGCAAAAGUAUUGCGAGGCGAGCGGUGAAAUGCUAUGACCCCCGCAAGACUACCUGAAGCGAAUGCGUCUGCCAAGGACGUUUUCAUUAAUCAKAACGAGGCGUGGAGCUUGCGGCUUAAUUUGACUCAACACGGGAAAUCUUACCAGGCCAGCACUCUUGAAUGAUUGACAGAUGGAGAGUUUUUUCUCGAUUCAGUGGAUGGUGGUGCAUGGCCGUUCUUAGUUGGUGGAGUGAUCUGUCUGGUUAAUUCCGAUAACGAACGAGACUCUCUCCUGCUAAAUAUGUCGGCUGGAUCUUGUGUCCCCAAGAGUUGUGAGCGAGAUGGAUUAGUGUGUCUUACACGCUUUGAAUUCUUUAACACACUCCAAGUCCGCCGCAUGUGUGUAGCUUGGUAUUUGCAUAAAACCUCUGGGUGUGUGGUUUGUGUUAGUUAACUCUUACACACCGCCAUUAAUGUUAUUGCUUGUGCCUUGUCUAUAUGCAAUGACUAAGUCUUCUUAGAGGUAUAAACGGCCCUUAAGCCGUAUGAAACGGUGAGCAAUAACAGGUCUGUUAUGCCCUUUGAUGUUCUGGGCCGCACGCGUGCUACAAUGCUUGGUACAGCAGGUGUUAUCCUUCUCCGAAAGGAGUUGGUAAUCCUCUGAAAGCCACUUGAAUAUUUUCUCUCUUUUUAUUAAGAGUGAUUUUCAAAGAGAGAGAGGGAGCAAUCUCUUUAUCUCUGCAUUGAAAUUAAUGGCAUGCUUGGGCCUGGGGCUUGCAAUUGUUUCCCACAAACGGGGAAUGCCUAGUAGUUACUGGUCACAAAGUGGUUGUGACUCAGUCCCUGCCCUUUGUACACACCGCCCGUCGCUACUACCGAUUGGGUGGAGAAGUGAGGACCUUGGAGUGUGGCGAUCCCAUAUACAUAUGAAUUACUGUCUGUUCAUAUAGGGUUUGCUGCAUAAAGAGGUUCAAACUUUUCUACCU
rnacentral:rRNA from 1 species